CACGCUGUAAACUAUGGAUGCUAGGUGUUUGGAAUGACUGUUCAUUUCCUUCGGGAUUUGGACGGAAGUUCUGAGUGCCGCAGCUAACGCGUUAAGCAUCCCGCCUGGGGACUACGGUCGCAAGACUAAAACUCAAAUGAAUUGGCGGGGACCUGCACAAGCAGAGGAGCACGUGGUUUAAUUCGAUGGUAAUCGAAGAACCUUACCAGGGUUUGACAUAUACCUGCAAGCUUUAGGAAACUAAGGCCGCCUUCGAGGGUGGUAUACAGGUGC
rnacentral:rRNA from 1 species